rnacentral:rRNA from 1 species
GAUGAACGCUGGCGGCGUGCCUAAUACAUGCAAGUCGAGCGAACAGACGAGGAGCUUGCUCCUCUGACGUUAGCGGCGGACGGGUGGGUAACACGUGGAUAACCUACCUAUAAGACUGGGAUAACUUCGGGAAACCGGAGCUAAUACCGGAUAAUAUAUUGAACCGCAUGGUUCAAUAGUGAAAGACGGUUUUGCUGUCACUUAUAGAUGGAUCCGCGCCGCAUUAGCUAGUUGGUAAGGUAACGGCUUACCAAGGCAACGAUGCGUAGCCGACCUGAGAGGGUGAUCGGCCACACUGGAACUGAGACACGGUCCAGACCCCUACGGGAGGCAGCAGUAGGGAAUCUUCCGCAAUGGGCGAAAGCCUGACGGAGCAACGCCGCGUGAGUGAUGAAGGUCUUCGGAUCGUAAAACUCUGUUAUUAGGGAAGAACAAAUGUGUAAGUAACUAUGCACGUCUUGACGGUACCUAAUCAGAAAGCCACGGCUAACUACGUG